rnacentral:misc_RNA from 1 species
GAUGAAGAACGCAGCGAAAUGCGAUAAGUAAUGUGAAUUGCAGAAUUCAGUGAAUCAUCGAAUCUUUGAACGCACAUUGCGCCCGCCAGUAUUCUGGCGGGCAUGCUUGUUCGAGCGUCAUUACAACCCUCAGGCCCCCGGGCCUGGCGUUGGGGAUCGGCGGAGCCCCCCGUGGGCACACGCCGUCCCCCAAAUGCAGUGGCGGUCCCGCCGCAGCUUCCAUCGCGUAGUAGCUAACACCUCGCGACUGGAGAGCGGCGCGGCCACGCCGUAAAACACCCAACUCUUCUGAAGUUGACCUCGAAUCAGGUAGGAAUACCCGCUGAACUUAAGCAUAUCAAUAAGCGGAGGA